GUGGGGAAUUUUGGACAAUGGGCGCAAGCCUGAUCCAGCAAUGCCGCGUGCAGGAAGAAGGCCUUCGGGUUGUAAACUGCUUUUGUACGGAACGAAACGGUCCUGGUUAAUACCCGGGGCUAAUGACGGUACCGUAAGAAUAAGCACCGGCUAACUACGUGCCAGCAGCCGCGGUAAUACGUAGGGUGCAAGCGUUAAUCGGAAUUACUGGGCGUAAAGCGUUCGCAGGCGGUGCUGUAAGACAGGCGUGAAAUCCCCGGGCUUGACCUGGGAAUUGCGCUUGUGACUGCAGUGCUGGAGUGCGGCAGAGGGGGAUGGAAUUCCGGGUGUAGCAGUGAAAUGCGUAGAUAUGCGGAGGAACACCGAUGGCGAAGGCAAUCCCCUGGGCCUGCACUGACGCUCAUGCACGAAAGCGUGGGGAGCAAACAGGAUUAGAAACCCCUGUAGUCC
rnacentral:rRNA from 1 species